UCGGGGUACUCGAGUGGCGAACGGGUGAGUAACACGUGGGUGAUCUGCCCUGCACUUUGGGAUAAGCCUGGGAAACUGGGUCUAAUACCGAAUAUGACNNNNNACUUCCUGGUGUGUGGUGGAAAGCUUUUGCGGUGUGGGAUGGGCCCGCGGCCUAUCAGCUUGUUGGUGGGGUAAUGGCCUACCAAGGCGACGACGGGUAGCCGGCCUGAGAGGGUGACCGGCCACACUGGGACUGAGAUACGGCCCAGACUCCUACGGGAGGCAGCAGUGGGGAAUAUUGCACAAUGGGCGCAAGCCUGAUGCAGCGACGCCGCGUGAGGGAUGACGGCCUUCGGGUUGUAAACCUCUUUCAAUAGGGACGAAGCGCAAGUGACGGUACCUAUAGAAGAAGGACCGGCCAACUACGUGCCAGCAGCCGCGGUAAUACGUAGGGUCCGAGCGUUGUCCGGAAUUACUGGGCGUAAAGAGCUCGUAGGUGGUUUGUCGCGUUGUUCGUGAAAACUCACAGCUUAACUGUGGGCGUGCGGGCGAUACGGGCAGACUAGAGUACUGCAGGGGAGACUGGAAUUCCUGGUGUAGCGGUGGAAUGCGCAGAUAUCAGGAGGAACACCGGUGGCGAAGGCGGGUCUCUGGGCAGUAACUGACGCUGAGGAGCGAAAGCGUGGGGAGCGAACAGGAUUAGAUACCCUGGUAGUCCACGCCGUAAACGGUGGGUACUAGGUGUGGGUUUCCUUCCUUGGGAUCCGUGCCGUAGCUAACGCAUUAAGUACCCCGCCUGGGGAGUACGGCCGCAAGGCUAAAACUCAAAGAAAUUGACGGGGGCCCGCACAAGCGGCGGAGCAUGUGGAUUAAUUCGAUGCAACGCGAAGAACCUUACCUGGGUUUGACAUGCACAGGACGCCAGUAGAGAUAUUGGUUCCCUUGUGGCCUGUGUGCAGGUGGUGCAUGGCUGUCGUCAGCUCGUGUCGUGAGAUGUUGGGUUAAGUCCCGCAACGAGCGCAACCCUUGUCUCAUGUUGCCAGCACGUAAUGGUGGGGACUCGUGAGAGACUGCCGGGGUCAACUCGGAGGAAGGUGGGGAAUGACGUCAAGUCAUCAUGCCCCUUAUGUCCAGGGCUUCACACAUGCUACAAUGGCCGGUACAAAGGGCUGCGAUGCCGUGAGGUGGAGCSAAUCCUUUCAAAGCCGGUCUCAGUUCGGAUCGGGGUCUSCAACUCGACCCCGUGAAGUGNNNCNCGCUAGUAAUCGCARAUCAGCAACGCUGCGGUGAAUACGUUCCCGGGCCUUGUACACACCNCCCGUCACGUCAUGAAAGUCGGUAACACCNGAAGCC
rnacentral:rRNA from 1 species